UAAUUAAAUUACUACCUUCCUUCCGAUGUUUGAAGGGGAUUCAGAGGCGUGAAUCCGAAAAUGGUGACGAGAUCAAUAAAUAAAUAAAGAUAUAAUUAUUUUACCUGCCCACGGUGUUGGAACGCUAGGGUAUACUUAUAGAUAUGCUCACGUGAUCCUGGAGUCGUUGGACGGCAAUUACAAUUUAAUUAAUUAACACUUU